GUCCCCGUAGCUCAACUGGAUAGAGCAGCGGUUUCCUAAACCGCCCAUCCCGGUUCAAGUCCGGGCGGGGGCACCA
rnacentral:tRNA from 1 species